rnacentral:rRNA from 1 species
UGAGUACGAGCUGCUACGGCAGCGAAGUGGGUGAUGUCAAGCUUCCAAGAAAAGCCCUAUACCCGUUAAGGCAUGACGGCCUGUACCCGAAACCGACACAGGUGGGGUGGUAGAGAAUACCGAGGGGCGCGAGAUAACUCUCUCUAAGGAACUCGGCAAAAUGGCCCCGUAACUUCGGGAGAAGGGGUGCCACCGCAAGGUGGUCGCAGUGAAGAGGCCCAGGCGACUGUUUACCAAAAACACAGGUCUCCGCUAAGUCGCAAGACGAUGUAUGGGGGCUGACGCCUGCCCAGUGUCGGAAGGUUAAGGAAGCUGGUCAGCGCAAGCGAAGCUAGCGGCUGAAGCCCCGGUGAACGGCGGCCGUAACUAUAACGGUCCUAAGGUAGCGAAAUUCCUUGUCGGGUAAGUUCCGACCCGCACGAAAGGCGUAACGAUCUGGGCGCUGUCUCGGAGAGAGGCUCGGCGAAAUAGAAUUGUCUGUGAAGAUGCGGACUACGUGCACCCGGACAGAAAGACCCUAUGAAGCUUUACUGUAGCUUGGUAUUGUGCCCGGGCUCUGAAUGCGCAGGAUAGGUGGGAGGCUUUGAUCCAUUGCUUGUGGGUAAUGGUGAGCCACUGGUGAGAUACCACUCUUUCAGAGCUAGGGUUCUAACGGUCACCCGUUAUCCGGGGACCGGACAGUAUCAGGUGGGCAGUUUGACUGGGGCGGUCGCCUCCUAAAGGGUAACGGAGGCGCGCAAAGGUUCCCUCAGGCUGGUUGGAAAUCAGCCGACGAGUGUAAAGGCAGAAGGGAGCUUGACUGUGAGACCUACAAGUCGAACAGGGACGAAAGUCGGCCUUAGUGAUCCGACGGUUCUGAGUGGAAGGGCCGUCGCUCAACGGAUAAAAGUUACUCUAGGAUAACAGGCUGAUCUCCCCCAAGAGUUCACAUCGACGGGGAGGUUUGGCACCUCGAUGUCGGCUCAUCGCAACCUGGGGCUGAAGUCGGUCCCAAGGGUUGGGCUGUUCGCCCAUUAAAGCGGUACGCGAGCUGGGUUCAGAACGUCGUGAGACAGUUCGGUCCAUAUCCGGUGCACGCGCAGGAACAUUGAGAGGAUUUCUCCCUAGUACGAGAGGACCGGGAGGAACGCACCUCUGGUGUACCAGUUAUCGUGCCAACGGUAAACGCUGGGUAGCCAUGUGCGGAGCGGAUAACCGCUGAAAGCAUCUAAGUGGGAAGCCCACCUCAAGAUGAGUGUUCCCAUGGCAUAAGCCAGUAAGGUCACGGGAAGAACACCCGUUGAUAGGCUCUACGUGGAAGCGUGGCAACACGUGAAGCGGAGGAGUACUAAUAGACCGAGGGCUUGAC